rnacentral:rRNA from 1 species
GUCUACGGCCAUGCUACCCUGAACAAGCCCGAUCCCGUCUGAUCUCGGAAGCUACGCAGGGUCGGGCCUGGUUAGUACUUGGAUGGGAGACCACCUAGGAAGACCAGGUGCUGUAGGUG